UGAGUGAUUCAACAAAUGUCCUUUCCCCUGGAAGGACACUCAGUGAAACUGUAGUUGCAGAUUCGUUGCUGAGGCGCAUUUCAGCUGCCAAAGGAAGGGUUAUCACUACCCAGUUUGCAUCUAACAUUCAUCGUCUUGGCAGUGUGAAAGCUGCAGCUGACUUGACCGGCAGAAAGCUGGUAUUUGUUGGCAUGUCUUUGAGGACAUAUCUUGACGCUGCAUGGAAAGAUGGG
rnacentral:misc_RNA from 1 species